rnacentral:rRNA from 1 species
AUUGAACGCUGGCGGCAGGCCUAACACAUGCAAGUCGAACGGUAACAGGAAGCAGCUUGCUGCUUUGCUGACGAGUGGCGGACGGGUGAGUAAUGUCUGGGAAACUGCCCGAUGGAGGGGGAUAACUACUGGAAACGGUAGCUAAUACCGCAUAACGUCGCAAGACCAAAGAGGGGGACCUUAGGGCCUCUUGCCAUCGGAUGUGCCCAGAUGGGAUUAGCUAGUAGGUGGGGUAACGGCUCACCUAGGCGACGAUCCCUAGCUGGUCUGAGAGGAUGACCAGCCACACUGGAACUGAGACACGGCCCAGACUCCUGCGCGAGGCAGCAGUGGGGAAUAUUGCACAAAGGGCGCAAGCCUGAUGCAGCCAUGCCGCGUGUAUGAAGAAGGACUUCGGGUUGGAAAGUACUUUCAGCGGGGAGGAAGGGAGUAAAGUUAAUACCUUUGCUCAUUGACGUUACCCGCAGAAGAAGCACCGGCUAACUCCGUG